rnacentral:rRNA from 1 species
UACGUAGGGUGCAAGCGUUGUCCGGAAUUAUUGGGCGUAAAGAGCUCGUAGGCGGUCUGUCGCGUCUGCUGUGAAAACUCAGGGCUUAACCCUGAGCUUGCAGUGGGUACGGGCAGACUAGAGUGCGGUAGGGGAGACUGGAAUUCCUGGUGUAGCGGUGAACUGCGCAGAUAUCAGGAGGAACACCGGUGGCGAAGGCGGGUCUCUGGGCCGUAACUGACGCUGAGGAGCGAAAGCAUGGGGAGCGAACAGG